rnacentral:rRNA from 1 species
UACAGAGGAGCCAAGCGUUGUCCGGAUUGACUGGGCGUAAAGCGCACGCAGGCGGUCGCGCGCGUGGGGUGUGAAAUCUGGCCGCUUAACGGCCAGGCGCCAUCCCAUACGGCGCGACUGGAGUGAUGCAGAGGUCGAUGGAAUUGCCGGUGUAGUGGUGAAAUGCGUAGAGAUCGGCAGGAACACCCAGGGGGAAACCAGUCGACUGGGCAUCUACUGACGCUGAGGUGCGAGAGCGUGGGGAGCGAACAGG